AUACCAUUCCGCCUAGCUGGUGUGAGAAUGACAAAGGAAUCUCACUGAAAAGGGAAUCUGGUGUAAAUCCAGAACUGACGCGCAGCGGUAAAAGAGAACGACCCCUCAAAUGACACUGUACGAGUUACGGGAAGUCGAGGCAGUAGGUUUAGGUUCACUGUGAUCCUUACGCUCUUGAGUCCGAAUACCUGCCAGCAGCCAAGCUUCGUU
rfam:Vibrio shilonii AK1 1103207001885, whole genome shotgun sequence.